rfam:Sordaria macrospora k-hell, WGS project CABT02000000 data, contig: 2.5
UCGGGUAUGGUGUAGCGGUAACAUCGUUGACUCUCACUUUCUCACAGAAAGUGUCUGCCUUCUCAACAGCCCCGGGUUCGACUCCCGGUAUCCGAG